GGGAAGGGCGCUUGUGGACGUCACGGGAGGGAGUCGCCCAUGCAGAUGAGGCAGCGCAGGGGCUGCUGGUUGGGUCCCUGGUGUUGAAACGCGAUGGCUUUCCCGUUCGGGAGAGGGAGCAUGAGACAGCUGGUGGUGGGCGAAUGCCUCUGCUGCGUGGACGAGCUAGGAGGUUCCGAGAGUGCGCGCAGAUUUUGAAGGUUUUUUUGAGAACGGUUUUUGUUCUGCAAAGAUCUUCAUGGAAGGAUCUCUGAGCGUGGGGAAAGAGAAAGAACUUA
rnacentral:lncRNA from 1 species